rnacentral:rRNA from 1 species
AUUGAACGCUGGCGGCAGGCCUAACACAUGCAAGUCGAGCGAGCGGCGGACGGGUGAGUAAUGUAUGGGGAUCUGCCCGCUAGAGGGGGAUAACUACUGGAAACGGUGGAUAAUACCGCAUCCUAUCGGAUGAACCCAGAUGGGAUUGGCUAGUAGGUGGGGUAAAGGCUCACCUAGGCGACGAUCUCUAGCUGGUCUGAGAGGAGGAUCAGCCACACUGGAAUAGAGACACGGCCCAGACUCCUACGGGAGGCAGCAGUGGGGAAGAUUGCACAAGGGGAGGAGGCCUGAUGCAGCCAUGCCGCGUGUAGGAAGAAGGCCUUAGGGUUGUAAAGUACUUUCAGCGGGGAGGCGUUACCCGCAGAAGAAGCACCGGCUAACUCCGUGCCAGCAGCCGCGGUAAUUC